rnacentral:rRNA from 1 species
GACGAACGCUGGCGGCGUGCUUAACACAUGCAAGUCGAACGAAGAGCGAUGAAGCUUGCUUCUAUCAAUCUUAGUGGCGAACGGGUGAGUAACGCGUAAUCAACCUGCCCUUCAGAGGGGGACAACAGUUGGAAACGACUGCUAAUACCGCAUACGAUCUGACCUCGGCAUCGAGGAUAGAUGAAAGGUGGCCUCUACAUGUAAGCUAUCACUGAAGGAGGGGAUUGCGUCUGAUUAGCUAGUUGGAGGGGUAACGGCCCACCAAGGCGAUGAUCAGUAGGCGGUCUGAGAGGAUGAACGGCCACAUUGGGACUGAGACACGGCCCAGACUCCUACGGGAGGCAGCAGUGGGGAAUCUUCCGCAAUGGACGAAAGUCUGACGGAGCAACGCCGCGUGAGUGAUGACGGCCUUCGGGUUGUAAAGCUCUGUUAAUCGGGACGAAAGGCCUUUUUGCGAAUAGUGAGAAGGAUUGACGGUACCGGAAUAGAAAGCCACGGCUAACUACGUG